UACAGAGGGUGCGAGCGUUAAUCGGAAUUACUGGGCGUAAAGCGUGCGUAGACGGUUAUGUAAGUCGGAUGUGAAAGCCCCGGGCUCAACCUGGGAAUUGCAUUCGAGACUGCAUAGCUAGAAUGCGGAAGAGGGAAGUGGAAUUUCCGGUGUAGCGGUGAAAUGCGUAGAUAUCGGAAGGAACAUCAGUGGCGAAAGCGACUUCCUGGUCCAGCAUCGACGUUGAGGCACGAAAGCGUGGGGAGCAAGCAGG
rnacentral:rRNA from 1 species